GAGCUUAACAACUCCCAAACCCCUGUGAACAUACUACCGUUGCUUCGGCGGGUACGCCCAGGCGCUGCUUGCAGUGCCCUGGACUUAGCGUUCCGCCGGGGGAAACCAAACUCUUGUCUUUACUGUAUCGUCUGAGUGGAUUAUUAAAUAAAUCAAAACUUUCAACAACGGAUCUCUUGGCUCU
rnacentral:misc_RNA from 1 species